AGAUUGAACGCUGGCGGCAUGCCUAACACAUGCAAGUCGAACGGGAGUAGCAAUACUCUAGUGGCGGACGGGUGAGGAAUACGUAGGAAUUUGCCCUUAAGUGGGGGAUAACCCGGGGAAACCCGGAUUAAUACCGCAUGACCUCGAAAGAGCAAAGUGGGGGAUCGCAAGACCUCACGCUUUUGGAGAAGCCUACGUCGGAUUAGCUAGUUGGUGAGGUAAUGGCUCACCAAGGCGACGAUCCGUAACUGGUCUGAGAGGAUGAUCAGUCACACCGGAACUGAGACACGGUCCGGACUCCUACGGGAGGCAGCAGGUGGGGAAUAGUUGGACAAUGGG
rnacentral:rRNA from 1 species